CGCCGAAGUUAUAGCAUUUUUAUUAAGUGUUGUUAAAAUGCACGUCUUUUGAAUAUAAACUCUUAUUGAGAUGUUUAUAAUUUCACGCAUUUGUGUUAUCGCAUUGGUUGCUUUAAAAACCAAUGCUUUGUCCCAAAAUCAAACAUUUAUGCUUGCUGCAUAUUACAUAAAGAAAUGCAUAAGCCCGGCUAUAGUUA
rnacentral:lncRNA from 1 species